CCUACGGGUGGCUGCAGUGGGGAAUAUUGCACAAUGGGCGCAAGCCUGAUGCAGCCAUGCCGCGUGUGUGAAGAAGGCCUUCGGGUUGUAAAGCACUUUCAGCGGGGAGGAAGGCGUUAAGGUUAAUAACCUUGGCGAUUGACGUUACCCGCAGAAGAAGCACCGGCUAACUCCGUGCCAGCAGCCGCGGUAAUACGGAGGGUGCAAGCGUUAAUCGGAAUUACUGGGCGUAAAGCGCACGCAGGCGGUCUGUCAAGUCGGAUGUGAAAUCCCCGGGCUCAACCUGGGAACUGCAUUCGAAACUGGCAGGCUAGAGUCUUGUAGAGGGGGGUAGAAUUCCAGGUGUAGCGGUGAAAUGCGUAGAGAUCUGGAGGAAUACCGGUGGCGAAGGCGGCCCCCUGGGCAAAGACUGACGCUCGGGUGCGAAAGCGUGGGGAGCAAACAGGAUUAGAUACCCCAGUAGUC
rnacentral:rRNA from 1 species